rnacentral:snRNA from 10 species
AUACUUACCUGGCAGGGGAGAUACCAUGAUCACGAAGGUGGUUUUCCCAGGGCGAGGCUUAUCCAUUGCACUCCGGAUGUGCUGACCCCUGCGAUUUCCCCAAAUGUGGGAAACUCGACUGCAUAAUUUGUGGUAGUGGGGGACUGCGUUCGCGGUUUCCCCUG